rnacentral:lncRNA from 1 species
CUUAAAAGCGUCCUAAUAUAUUCCAACGUUACUUUGCUUUCGGUCAAAGCGUUGGCAAAUAAAGAAUCGCCACGCAUAUAUCGACGCUUAUACCAAGUGUCGGUAAAAUAUAUUCGGAUGCUUUAAAGUAUUAGGAUUUUUGAAAUCCUGACCCUUUAAAGCGUUGAAAAAUUAAAAAUAAUAGUAAAAUUUAUCAUCAUUUAAUAAAUUAUUUGAUAUCAUAUGAUGAUACUUUUUGAAGCAUCGGUAUUUUCUAUAUUGUAAAA